ensembl:snoRNA
AUACUUUCGUAGUUCAUAAGCAUGAUGAUUGGGUAUUCACACACAUGCAUGAGAUAUGCCACCCUCCCACCUUGUUAGGAUGUUGGCGCAUAACCCGUCUUACA